rnacentral:snRNA from 1 species
UUACUUACCUGGAAGGUGGUUUUCCCAGGGCGAGGCUUAUCCAUUGCACUCCAGAUGUGCUGACCCCUGUGAUUUCGCCAAAUGUGGGAAACUUGACUGCAUAAUUUGUGGUAGUGGGAGACUGCGUUCGCGCUUUCCCCUG